UGGGCCAAGCAGAUGACCCUCCUUCUGAAGCUUGUCAGAAGGUCAGUAGCAGCCUAAUGCUACAUUUUAAUGCCUGUGGCAUUGAUCUCACUUCAUCCUAUCACAUAGGCGCCAUAUCAUCUCACAUCUUCUCAAGAAGGAGCCAAGGGCAGCUCCUCCGACUCCUAUUGCUGGUCCCUGGUCCCUGCAGCUGGAGAAUUCUCCGUACAUCACGGCUGUGACACUUGACACGACUUGCAACAUAUGGAAAUCAGCUUCUGCCUGCCUCCAUGAACAAUUUCUUCUCUGCUAUGACCCUCUACCGUGGCAUCCUGCUUUGGAACCAGGCAACUAUGAACUGAACCUCUACAAACUAUGAGAAGAUGAUGCUCAGAGGAAUUUGCAGCCUAUGAGAGGACCUCAGGUCUGUGAGGAAGCAUUACACAACAGGAUUAUGUUGUGGAACAAAGCUGUUCAUCUCCUGGACAAAAGUGAGAAAGUGAAAAAGGAAGGAGGUGGGACCCAAUAUCAUCUUUAAGAAGACGAGUGAGGGAGGCUGGGCAGGAACUUGCCCGCCUGGGGUCGCUCUGCUCUCUGGCCCUGGGACCCCACUUCCCGAGGAACCUACCAUGUUUCUGAAGCCGCCUCCUCUCUGCACACGUACCCAGACUCACAGGCCCUGGGAGGUUUGAGGAAUUUGUGCAAGUUACAUGGAAUCUAGUUGCGGUUCCACAAACAAAGAGGAUGGAAUGUUUUCAGGCAUGAUUGUGGCUUAACAAAGGAAAAAAACAAGGGAAAGAAAUUAACUACAUUAAAUUUCUGCAUCAACUGUAAAGGGGCAUUCAGAGUCUCCGAUCCUAAGGAAAAUGGACAAGAGGCAACAGCUGUGUAUUUAAGGAUAGUUGGUAAAUCCUGUGAGAGACUAAAGCUCCCUGUUCCUGAGGGUGACUUGGAUGAGCUGCGAACAGAGGCGAAUGUGCUGGAAAAGGCUUGCGGGACUCAUUAAUGCAGGUGCUUGCAACACGGGGACCUUGAGAACAGAAAUGAUGUCACGUCCACGCUGGGUCCCCAACGCUGGCUCCAUGCCUCGCACCCAAACUCCCUCGCUAAUUAUUUGUCAAAUGAAUCAAGCACGAGAGAUGCGA